GAUGAACGCUGGCGGCGUGCCUAAUACAUGCAAGUCGAGCGAACAGACGAGGAGCUUGCUCCUCUGACGUUAGCGGCGGACGGGUGAGUAACACGUGGAUAACCUACCUAUAAGACUGGGAUAACUUCGGGAAACCGGAGAUAAUACCGGAUAAUAUAUUGAACCGCAUGGUUCAAUAGUGAAAUACGGUUUUGCUGUCACUUAUAGCUGGAUCCGCGCCGCAUUAGCUAGUUGGUAAGCUAACGGCUUACCAAGGCAACGCUGCGUAGCCGAGCGCAGCGAGGGAUCGGCCACACGGGAACUGAGACAGGGUCCAGACUCCUACGGGAGGCAGCAGUAGGGAAUCUUCCGCAAUGGGCGAAAGCCUGACGGAGCAACGCCGCGUGAGUGAUGAAGGUCUUCGGAUCGUAAAACUCUGUUAUUAGGGAAGAACAAAUGUGUAAGUAACUAUGCACGUCGUGACGGUACCUAAUCAGAAAGCCACGGCUAACUACGUG
rnacentral:rRNA from 1 species